AUGAACGCUGGCGGCGUGCCUAAUCCAUGCCAGUCGAGCGCACAGACGAGGAGCUUGCUCCUCUGACGUUAGCGGCGGACGGGUGAGUAACACGUGGAUAACCUACCUAUAAGACUGGGAUAACUUCGGGAAACCGGAGCUAAUACCGGAUAAUAUAUUGAACCGCAUGGUUCAAUAGUGAAAGACGGUUUUGCUGUCACUUAUAGAUGGAUCCGCGCCGCAUUAGCUAGUUGGUAAGGUAACGGCUUACCAAGGCGACGAUGCGUAGCCGACCUGAGAGGGUGAUCGGCCACACUGGAACUGAGACACGGUCCAGACUCCUACGGGAGGCAGCAGUAGGGAAUCUUCCGCAAUGGGCGAAAGCCUGACGGAGCAACGCCGCGUGAGUGAUGAAGGUCUUCGGAUCGUAAAACUCUGUUAUUAGGGAAGAACAAAUGUGUAAGUAACUAUGCACGUCUUGACGGUACCUAAUCAGAAAGCCACGGCUAACUACGUG
rnacentral:rRNA from 1 species